rnacentral:tRNA from 1 species
ACCUCGGUGGCUCUGAGGCGAGAGUGUCUGCUUAUGGAUCUCCAUGUGGCGGGUUCGAAUCCCGGCCGAGGUG